CUGUUCAUGAAAGACGAUGGUUAAAUUUUCAAAAAGUCUGUGAGCUGGUUUGUUUAAAUAAAACUUUUAAUAGAAAUAAAAUUAUAUUAAUUUAUAUUAAAAUAUUAAAACUCAUUGCUUACUAUUCAUCACAUUUUAUUAUUCUCUAUGCACUUAAGUUUCUUUACACCUGUUAAGCCUGUGUGUAAUAUCACUUUGGGAGCUUGAUAUUGGCCAUGAUGGGAAUACUUACUAGAAAUCAGCAAAUGUUACAAAUCAGGGCUUUAUUUCUUGUUUGGUUGAUUGUCUAAACAAGUAUUUCUCAACUUUUGUUCUUUAAUUAUUACUACCUCCUCCAAGUAGUCCUUUUAUUUUUGGCCUAUUUUUGGCCUAAUUGUUCCCUCCCCGUGAAAUAUUUAGAUGACAGAUAUAUUACUGCCCAUAUAUCUAUGUAUAUCUAUGCUUUAUACAUGAAAAGGGACAUUUUUUUCUCCAUCCCAAGAGCUAGUUUUUCCUCCCAGGGGGCCAUACCACCCCCUUUGAGAAUGCAGAGUCUAAACUUAAAAAGUGAUAGAAAAAAUGUUAAUAAUGCAGAUUAAACACACACCUCUCAUAUCUGCAGACAUUGUAAGUCACAGAGCAAAUUGAGAAUUAUUCUUCCAUUAUUUGAACACUAUUAUCCAAUUCAAUAAAGAGGGUGUUUAUUUCAUCUACAACCAAGUUUCAAUAUAUUUUUGUUGUUUUACUUUUGUCUUACAUGUUAACAUGCAAGACUUCUGGGAAAAUCAACAAAAGCAUUCUGUGAGAAUAAACUGGCUGUAUGGAAUUUAUAAUAAUGAACAUUUUGUAUUUCACCGUUAUUCUUAAAUUGUGUGUCAUAUGUCCAUUAUAUCAAUAAGGUAUAUAUACAUAUAUAAACACACAUACAUGUACAGAUAUUUUGUCCUAAGAGCUAGCUAUUAAAUAUUUACCAGCACACCACUGUAUAUAACCUACAUUUAAGAUCAAAACAUCAUAAUUUUCUACACCAAAUUGGGGAUAUUCAGACAUUCAGAAGGAAAACAAUCUCUGAACAUGGUUGGAAAGAUUAACCCAGGGAAGGGCGGUUAGGAGAAAUAUUUUAACAUCUAUUUUAGCCUUUUUCACAUUUUCCAAAAGGAAUAUGUAUUCCUUUUAUUGAUACAUUUUUUUCCCAUUAUCUAUCCUCUCCCCAAUCACACACAAGUGCUUAAUGUACUAUCAUAGCAGUGUAAGUGUAUGACUCAGGGAACGCUAAGGAGAAUGGAAGGACCAGUCUGGGGGGAGAAUGAAAAACAGUGGAGAAGAAAAGGGAUAAAGAGGGUCUAAUUAAAAUAAGGGGGAAAAAAGAAUUUAAAAGAUAAAGAACUGAAGCAUCCCAAGUAGGGAUUGUACAAUACCAGAGGAGGGGAGAUCAGCUUACAGUACAACCACUGAAGGAGUCAAAGUAGCAAAUAAAAAUAAAAAUAAACAAGAAAAAAAAGCAAAACAUAGCAGGAGAAGAGUCCAUUCCACCCUUUCCCAUUCCAAAUUAAUUAUUAACAUUGGAAGUAGCUAUCUCUUGGGAGGUGAAAGAUAGCUUGCCAGUGAGUAAAUAGUGGCUUUGUAUUGUUUUAAAUUUGUUAAACUAAUACUAUAUCAGCAGUACCGGCAAAAUGUAUAGUUGUGGUAAAUCACUCUGAAAUAUUCUUACUGACAUUUUCAGAGAUCACAUAUCCCAAUUUAAGCAUGAUGUAGUUGCAAUUCUUAUUCUGGACCCAAAGAGCAUCAGGAGGAAUAUAUAUUCCUCCAGUGUGCAUGAAGGUACACUUUAUGGGCCAUUCUGUAGCACUCAGAUUCUGAGGAAGAAUCAAAGAGCUUUUAGAGACUCUAUUAUAAUCUUGAAGUAGAACAGGAUAUCAUCCUUUUCUAUUGAAAAUUGAAGAGAGCAAUGGGUAAUAUUUUGUCAGGUUCCAGCAAUUAAGUGUAAACUCUCAGGAAACCAAUAUAAUGAUCAGAAAUCAAACUUUAAAAAUCUACAUCUUAAAAUGCAUAUAUUUAAAACCAUCUUUCUUUUUUUUUUCAAUUGUAUUUUUAAAAAAAGCAAGAAGAGUAAAAUCUCACUUUGACCCAAUCAAAAAAAUGAGGUUAAUUUGCCCUCUCCACUCUAUUUCCCAACUAGAAUUUUCAUCUGUAUCCCUGACUUAUCAUUGAGUUCUAAUACUUCAAAAAAAAAAAAAAACAACAAAACUCAGAAUUAACAGUUAAAAGAGGCAAGUUCCAAGACUGGCAUAUUUUAGUCAUAGCAAGAAAUAAUGUUCUUUUGCAUAAGUAAUAUGCCAUGCAAUUCUGACGCAUAUAUCCUAUAGGGGUCUUUAAUCAAAACAUUUAAUUUUUAGAAAACAGAUGGCUCUAGAGCUCCUACCAAUUUCUGUGUGUUAUGAUCAAUCUGAAGCCAGAGACAUUUCCCUUAGCAAGCUGAAAAAACUAGAGAGGAUGUAGAAAGAGAAAGAAUUAGCUAGAGGAAUAAAUCCUGAGACAUUACCAUUUACUGGUCUAAAAAAGUCUGCUCCAUAGCCUCAGAAAGAUUAUCAGUGGUUGGCCCCAAAUGACAUAAAUCAUGUGUGAAAGUAGGUUUUGUACAUGUCUCAAUAGACCCUGCAGUCCAACUGAUCCUCCCAUUUCUGUGCUGGCUGCUGACUGUAAAUCAUCAGCUCUCCAUGUAGCUAGGCUUUGUGGAUGAACUACCAAGCAGUUCUGGCUCUCUCUGGGGCUGUAACAUUCUGCCUUAAGGAGUUGGCAGUAUGACCACAGUCAAAGAAAAACCAGGAUAAAAAAAUUCACACAAAGGAAGUUGCCAUCCACCUACACGGUUCAAGUCGAUGGCUAAUUACAGUAGGCAAAAGAUCAAAAACUCAAAAAUGCUAUCAAAAAUCCUAACAAUUGCAAGGCAUCCAGAAAACAAAACGAAAUAAAAAAGAACCAUGCACUAAUCUGAGAGCUAACAGAAGUGAUUUAUGUAACACCAUUAGCACAUAUUAAGACUGAAAUAAAAUAGUUCCAACUCCAUAACAAAAAUGGUACAUAUUCUUAUUCCAUCUUUUACAUCAGAACCAAUUGCAAGAAUAAGAGUUAGACUGAGGUUCAAGCAAAAGAACAAUGCAGCAAAGUGCAGUGCGAAAAACAGUCUUUUAGGAGUGGCUCUGAUUAUGAACCCUGGCUCCACCACUUAUUUGACUGUGAACAGGUCACUUAGUCUCUUUGAAUUCCUCUUCCGCAAACUGCAAAUAAUGACAACCUUGAAAAGUCACUGUGAAAAUUUUCCACAUUGUGUGUAAAGCACACAUAAUAUCUGUCACACAGAAUUAUUAUAUGCAAAGUGUCACUGAACGAUAAAAUUUAUCUCUGGGGUUGGCAGUGCCUAACAAUAAUAACAGCUUUCAUUAUUAUGACACUUUAUCAUGUCAAGAGUCAUCUAUCUCCAGCACUUUUUGAAGUAGGCAGGGCAGGAAUUAUGCCCAUUCUAAAGAUGAAGAAAAUGAAGUGCUUUAACAUUUUUGUAAAGCUGUAUGUGUGUGUAUGAGAAAAGUAAGAGUCACAUUAAUGGAUAAUUAUAUUUUAAUGAAGUGGGAAAAUCUCCAACAAUGAUUGAUGUUAUUAAAAAUGAAGAAUGCUGAGAAGUGAAAAAUAUUUUGAACCCUAUAAGCCUUCAACAUUGCUGCUUUUCCACUUCCACAUUCUUAUGAUGGAAUCACUAUUGUUUGAUGAGCCAUUUUAUCCUAAGUGGCACUGUUAAAGAGAUUAAUGAGCCAGGAGACCUGGUGAGUUAAAUUAACAUUUUAAAGUUAAAAUUUAUCCAGAUUAAUAAUAAUUAAACCCACAAAAUAUGCCAGGGCAACACUACCAAAAUUAAUCCUAUCCCAUUGUAAAAAUAAUUCAUUUUGUAUAGUUGAAUUAGUCCUGAGAAGAUCUGUCUUUGAACACUAACUACAGUAAUUGUUUAGCAUUGCAAUUAAUGCUCAGAAAUACUAGUUUAAAGAUUCAAACAGAAUGGAAUGCUAGAUAAAAGUCAUACGACUUAUUAUCAGUCAGAAUUAAAAUGAAUAUACUGAAUGAAUAAAAACAUCUGAGGCAAUAACAAAUUCUUAAAACAUUCAAGCAAUGUAAUUUGCCAUUUUGGAGACUAAACAGUUGGGCAGAUCCUAUUUCAAGUCUGUCCAAUCACUGCAAGGGUUUCCAGGUGUACACAAAUUCUGAAACGUAUUUCCUUCAUUUAGAUUUUGUCUUGUUUUAUGACUGUAUCAGCAUCACUGACCAUAUGCUGCCCUUAAAAUAGCCAAACUCAAUACUUCCAAAGUCUUUUCCUUUUUCCUCCUAGAAGGAAAAUAUUUUGAGGUGGAAAAGAAUCAGCUCAUUAAGGAAAACCACUAUCUCCUUACUCCUUACUUUCUCUUUCCUUGUUCUCUCACUUUGAUUUUGUCAUCACUCUGCCCUCUGCCCUCCAAUGUGUACUGUCUCCCCUUAAUGUUCUAAACUUGACCAAUCAUGUCCAUUAAGGUAGACCUUUGCUUCCUCUUAGCUUAGACAGACAUGGUUUUAAAAAUGUAUUAAGGAGGGAGCAAAAAUAAACAAAUGCAUAAAAAUCAUCCAAAUAUCAUGUGCUUAUGUUUGGAUUACUGACUUAAGAGUUUAUGCUACCUCAAAAGAGCAGCUGUCUCCUGAACAUCUUUGCACCUUGUUAUAGCAAAAACAUGUGUCAGAUUCCCCAAUUAAAUCCCUUUUAUAGUCUUUCUUCCAAAUCCCGUAGCCUAACCCAUAGGUUAUGUUUGGGGAAUGUUCUAGGUGACCAGUUCUGGCACUAUUCUCCUCUUCUAGUGCCAAUCAUGGUUUAUCUACAGGAGAAAAAUCUUAUCCUCAAAGUGACUCUAUACUAAGAUGCUGUAGAGCAAAUGAAUACAUACAGCAAAUAUCAGAUCCCAAGACAAGAUGUAUACAUAUGUGGAAGUAGACACUGUUAUUCUUACAUCACCAUAGCGGAGGGAAGAGUUCCAAAAUCAAUUAAAUAAGUGUUGUUUUCUUAGAGAGGCAUCCUGCCAAGAAUUAGAGUAAUCCAUUGCUCUACGUACGAUAUGUGUGGGUGUGAGGAUGGGUUAUGUGUGUGUGUCCAUAGCAAAACUUUAACUCCCUUUCCAACACUUUUCCCAUUUUAUGUAGUAUUCGGAGUAGAAAUGCAGUAAGAAAACUUACUAAUAGAAACUUAGAUUUUAUUUGAAAAGAAGAAGGAAGAACAUAAGGAGAGAGGUUAUUUUGAGAAAAGUGAAAGAGCCCCUGGAGUCAGAAGUCCUCUGUUGGAGCUCUGGUUCCACUAUUUAUUAUGUAUGUGAUUAUACAUGAAACUAUUUAUUUUAAAAGUUCAAAGAUGACUGUCUCAGUCUGAAUCAAAGUCCAUUAACCAGAGGCUCUCUUUUAGAAGCGCUGAAGAAGUGAGGAUUUUGAAGUCACAGACAAUCUAUAUUUAGAAACUAUAAACUCUUGUUCAGACCACUAAAUCUUUGGAGCCUCUGUUACUUUACCUACUAAGCAGAGCAAUGCAACACUUCAGAGUAUUAUAAGGUGAGAUUAGGUACACACACAUUUUCAAGGAAUAAAAGAUCAAUAAAUAUGCAUUGAUUUCUUUUUUUCUUUCCUCCAUUUAACACAUUAGUACAUUUCAAUGAUCUUGUUUUCAUUAAGAAUUGCUCAGUGGGUUAAGGAUCCCGUGUUGUCACUGCUAUGGCUCUGGUUACAGCUGUGGCAUGGGUUCAGUCCCUAGACUGGCCUGGGGACUUCCAUAUGCCCUGGG
rnacentral:lncRNA from 1 species